rnacentral:rRNA from 1 species
AACGAACGCUGGCGGCAUGCCUAACACAUGCAAGUCGAACGAUGCCUCCGGGCAUAGUGGCGCACGGGUGCGUAACGCGUGGGAAUCUGCCCUUGGGUUCGGAAUAACUCGCCGAAAGGCGAGCUAAUACCGGAUGAUGACGUAAGUCCAAAGAUUUAUCGCCCAAGGAUGAGCCCGCGUAGGAUUAGCUAGUUGGUGGGGUAAAGGCCCACCAAGGCGACGAUCCUUAGCUGGUCUGAGAGUAUGAUCAGCCACACUGGGACUGAGACACGGCCCAGACUCCUACGGGAGGCAGCAGUGGGGAAUAUUGGACAAUGGGCGAAAGCCUGAUCCAGCAAUGCCGCGUGAGUGAUGAAGGCCUUAGGGUUGUAAAGCUCUUUUACCCGGGAUGAUAAUGACAGUACCGGGAGAAUAAGCUCCGGCUAACUCCGU